UUAGGAAAUUUUGCCAAUGGGGGAAACCCUGAGCGAGUAACGCCGCGUGGAGGACGAAGGCCUUCGGGUUGUAAACUUCUUUUCUGAGGGAAGAUGAUGACGGUACCUUAGGAAUAAGCCCCGGCUAACUACGUGCCAGCAGCCGCGGUAAUACGUAGGGGGCGAGCGUUGUCCGGAAUUACUGGGCGUAAAGAGCGCGUAGGCGGCACGAUAAGUUCUGUGUGAAAGCCCCCGGCCCAACUGGGGAAAGCCGCGGAAAACUGUCGAGCUGGAGUGUCGGAGAGGGAAGUGGAAGUCCCGGAGUAGGGGUGAAAUCCGUAGAGACCGGGCCGAACACCAGUGGCGAAGGCGGCUUCCUGGCCGACGACUGACGCUGAGGCGCGAAAGCGUGGGGAGCGAACGGGAUUAGAUACCCCCGUAGUCC
rnacentral:rRNA from 1 species